AUGUAUAUAUUGACACUAUGCAUGCGAGUUGGGGUUAAUGCUGUUACGGAUUUUAUGUUGGCAUAUUUUAUGAAGUAAGUCGAGUCUUGAAUGUUUGAAGAAGAAGAGAUGAAGAUCGAAGACUCGAAGACUCAAAACAUGAAUGCACAAUGCUCGGUAAGUUUAAAUACUAUUGAUGAUGAUUUAUAAAUGUUUAAAAGUGUUUGGAAGACUUAGGAUGGUUUUAAAAUAUGAAUUUAGACAAGACUGAG
rnacentral:lncRNA from 1 species